UACGGAGGGUGCAAGCGUUAUCCGGAUUCACUGGGUUUAAAGGGUGCGUAGGAGGGCAGGUAAGUCAGUGGUGAAAUCUCCAAGCUUAACUUGGAAACUGCCAUUGAUACUAUUUGUCUUGAAUAUUGUGGAGGUCAGCGGAAUAUGUCAUGUAGCGGUGAAAUGCUUAGAUAUGACAUAGAACACCAAUUGCGAAGGCAGCUGGCUACACAUAUAUUGACACUGAUGCACGAAAGCGUGGGGAUCAAACAGG
rnacentral:rRNA from 1 species